UACGGAGGGGGCUAGCGUUGUUCGGAAUUACUGGGCGUAAAGCGCGCGCAGGCGGUGAUGUAAGACAGUUGUGAAAUCCCCGGGCUCAACCUGGGAACUGCAUCUGUGACUGCAUCGCUGGAGUGCGGCAGAGGGGGAUGGAAUUCCGCGUGUAGCAGUGAAAUGCGUAGAUAUGCGGAGGAACACCGAUGGCGAAGGCGGCUAUCUGGCGGUGCACUGACGCUGAGGCGCGAAAGCACGGGGAGCAAACAGG
rnacentral:rRNA from 1 species